UACGUAGGGUUCGAGCGUUAAUCGGAAUUACUGGGCGCAAAGCGUUCGUAGGCGGUUCGCUGUGUCCGAUGUGAAAGCCCCGGGCUUAACCUGGGAAUGGCAUUGGAAACUGGCGGGCUUGAGUGCGGCAGAGGGGGGUGGAAUUCCGCGUGUAGCAGUGAAAUGCGUAGAGAUGCGGAGGAACACCGAUGGCGAAGGCAGCCCCCUGGGUCGCCACUGACGCUCAGGCACGAAAGCGUGGGGAGCAAACAGG
rnacentral:rRNA from 1 species